UACGUAGGCAGCGAGCGUUGUUCGGAGUUACUGGGCGUAAAGGGUGUGUAGGCGGUUUUCUAAGUUUGGUGUGAAAUCUCCCGGCUCAACCGGGAGGGUGCGCCGAAAACUGGGAGACUAGAGUGCGGGAUGGGAGAGUAGAAUUCCUGGUGUAGCGGUGAAAUGCGUAGAUAUCAGGAGGAAUACCGGUGGUGUAGACGGCUUUCUGGACCAUAGCUGACGCUGAGACACGAAAGCGUGGGUAGCAAACAGG
rnacentral:rRNA from 1 species